rnacentral:rRNA from 1 species
ACGCUGGCGGCGUGCCUAAUACAUGCAAGUAGAACGCUGAGGUUUGGUGUUUACACUAGACUGAUGAGUUGCGAACGGGUGAGUAACGCGUAGGUAACCUGCCUCAUAGCGGGGGAUAACUAUUGGAAACGAUAGCUAAUACCGCAUAAGAGUAAUUAACACAUGUUGGUUAUUUAAAAGGAGCAAUUGCUUCACUGUGAGAUGGACCUGCGUUGUAUUAGCUAGUUGGUGAGGUAAAGGCUCACCAAGGCGACGAUACAUAGCCGACCUGAGAGGGUGAUCGGCCACACUGGGACUGAGACACGGCCCAGACUCCUACGGGAGGCGGCAGUAGGGAAUCUUCGGCAAUGGACGGAAGUCUGACCGAGCAACGCCGCGUGAGUGAAGAAGGUUUUCGGAUCGUAAAGCUCUGUUGUUAGAGAAGAACGUUGGUAGGAGUGGAAAAUCUACCAAGUGACGGUAACUAACCAGAAAGGGACGGCUAACUACGUGCCAGCAGCCGCGGUAAUACGUAGGUCCCGAGCGUUGUCCGGAUUUAUUGGGCGUAAAGCGAGCGCAGGCGGUUCUUUAAGUCUGAAGUUAAAGGCAGUGGCUUAACCAUUGUACGCUUUGGAAACUGGAGGACUUGAGUGCAGAAGGGGAGAGUGGAAUUCCAUGUGUAGCGGUGAAAUGCGUAGAUAUAUGGAGGAACACCGGUGGCGAAAGCGGCUCUCUGGUCUGUAACUGACGCUGAGGCUCGAAAGCGUG